rnacentral:rRNA from 1 species
CCUACGGGAGGCAGCAGUGAGGAAUAUUGGUCAAUGGACGAGAGUCUGAACCAGCCAAGUAGCGUGAAGGAUGACCGCCCUAUGGAUUGUAAACUUCUUUUAUAUGGGAAUAACAUGUUCCACGUGUGGGAUUUUGUAUGUACCAUAUGAAUAAGGAUCGGCUAACUCCGUGCCAGCAGCCGCGGUAAUACGGAGGAUCCGAGCGUUAUCCGGAUUUAUUGGGUUUAAAGGGAGCGUAGGUGGAUUGUUAAGUCAGUUGUGAAAGUUUGCGGCUCAACCGUAAAAUUGCAGUUGAAACUGGCAGUCUUGAGUACAGUAGAGGUGGGCGGAAUUCGUGGUGUAGCGGUGAAAUGCUUAGAUAUCACGAAGAACUCCGAUUGCGAAGGCAGUUCACUGGACUGCAACUGACACUGAGGCUCGAAAGUGUGGGUAUCAAACAGGAUUAGAUACCCCAGUAGUC